UACGUAGGAGGCAAGCGUUGUCCGGAGUUACUGGGCGUAAAGCGCACGCAGGCGGUCGCAUCAGUCUGGGGUGACAGUUCCCGGCCUAACCGGGAAAGUGCUCUGGAAACUGUGCGACUUGAGGGCUUCAGAGGGAUGUGGAAUUCCAGGUGUAGCGGUGAAAUGCGUAGAUAUCUGGAGGAACACCGGUGGCGAAGGCGGCAUCCUGGACCGGUAUUGACGCUGAGGCGCGAAAGCUAGGGGAGCAAACGGG
rnacentral:rRNA from 1 species